GAGGUGACGCAAUGGUUAAAAAAAAAAAAGAGAAAAAGAAGAGAAGAAGAAGAGAAGAAGAAGAGAAGAAGAAAAGGAAAGAUGGAAUACUCGCAGGAUCUAGGGGACUCAAGCCGAUGUUGAACAGGAAUUGCUCCUUCAGAAGGUUGGGAAGGGAAGGAGUUGGAUAACUAAGGAGUUUCUGGGCGGCUUGAAGAUCGUCCUCUCCCAGGUUGGGAGCCCAA
rnacentral:lncRNA from 1 species